GCCCGCUUGGCUAAGUGGUAUAGCGUGUCACUAGUAACUGCUAGGAGUCAUGACAAGAUCAGCGGUUCGAUUCCGCUAGUGGGCA
rnacentral:tRNA from 1 species